rnacentral:lncRNA from 1 species
GGGGUGGGGUAGGGUUGCAGGGAAUGAAGCCGGGAAAAUAAAUACAGCAACUGCCCCUGUUCCUAAGGGUCCCCAAGAAGGAGAGCAGUGGGCCGAGCUGCAAAGAGGUAUCCCUAGGACCAGGAGCUGGUGAUCUGAGGGGACCCCAGCCACAGGGUCCUGAGCAGGACAAGGCUGGGGCGUGAGGUUGCCGAAGGGUGUUGGGAUUUUCACGGAAACUUCCGGCCAGUGCUGUCCCACCAGCAACCCCUUGCAUGGGGUGAUAGUGCCCCCUGGUGUUUGAUUCCUGGAACUCUCCCCCAGCUGUUUUGUAAAGCCCAGAGGAUUAAGCACUCCUGAAGAACUUCUAUUUUUGGUUCCCAAUAUUUCCACAGUGAAAUGCUGACAGGAGCACCAGAGGGCUUCCCAAAGGCCCCAGAGGCUGCUGCACUGCUGCGCUCCCGCGUGCUCCAGCUCUCUGUUCCCCAGGGGUCGGAGCUGCUCUUGGUUCUCAGGGGCAGUUUACUGUCCCGUGCAGUCUGGUUGAACGGCCCCAGGGCAGCCACCCUGUGUUCUGUUUGCCGAGCGCGGAGCCUGGCCUCAGCGGAAAGGCUGUGUGCGCAUUCAGAGUGACGUGUUGGAAAGAACACUGGAUCCAGGAUUAGGAAGCUUGGAUGCCCGCCCCACGUCAGCCGCUAACUACCGGUCUCAGGGUCUUCAUGAAGAACAGGUGACUUAAGCAGCCCUUGGAAGGCUUCCCACCGCCUACGAUGCAUUUCAGACUCGCUUCGAGGCAUCAUCUCAGCUCACCUGGUCAGCCUCACCUUUCGCUGGCCCCUACAAACCCUACUCUCCAUCCGGUCUUACCAAAUACCUCACCUUCCCUGAUGAUGCAACGUACCAGCCUGGCCCCGCCGUAAAGAACUGCCAUG